rnacentral:rRNA from 1 species
GCUCGUGUUGUNAGAUGUUGGGUUAAGUCCCGCAACGAGCGCAACCCUUGUCCUUAUUUGSUUCCUCGUAUGAGGUGCUCUAUAAGGAGACUGCCGGCGACAAGCCGGAGGAAGGAGGGGACGACGUCAGGUCAGUAUGCCCUUUAUGCCCUGGGCUACACAGGCGCUACAGUGGCAAGGACAAUGAGUAGCGAGAGUGCAAGCUCAAGCUAAUCUCACAAACCUUGUCGUGGUGCGAAUUGAAGGUUGAAACUCACCUUCAUGAAGCCGGAAUCGGUAGUAAUGGCGUAUCAGCUAUGUCGCCGUGAAUACG